GACGAACGCUGGCGGCGUGCUUAACACAUGCAAGUCGAGCGGAAAGGCCCUGCUUUUGUGGGGUGCUCGAGUGGCGAACGGGUGAGUAACACGUGAGUAACCUGCCCUUGACUUUGGGAUAACUUCAGGAAACUGGGGCUAAUACCGGAUAGGAGCUCCUGCUGCAUGGUGGGGGUUGGAAAGUUUCGGCGGUUGGGGAUGGACUCGCGGCUUAUCAGCUUGUUGGUGGGGUAGUGGCUUACCAAGGCUUUGACGGGUAGCCGGCCUGGGAGGGUGACCGGCCACAUUGGGACUGAGAAACGGCCCAGACUCCUACGGGAGGCAGCAGUGGGGAAUAUUGCACAAUGGGCGGAAGCCUGAUGCAGCAACGCCGCGUGCGGGAUGACGGCCUUCGGGUUGUAAACCGCUUUCGCCUGUGACGAAGCGUGAGUGACGGUAAUGGGUAAAGAAGCACCGGCUAACUACGUG
rnacentral:rRNA from 1 species